rnacentral:piRNA from 1 species
AAGGGCUGUAACCACUAAAGGCUUAUGG